AGUUGAAAUGAACCAGAACAUCGUAAACUGGGAUGAGGGACGGUUCAUCGCGAUGAAUGAGAUGGCUGCUGCUAACUAACGCUAACUGACGCCAACGAGCUUUGGAAUAUCGAUCCGUUAGUGGAGAUUCUGACAAAUCACCAGAGAAACGUGAUCAGGAGGAAUUCAGAGAAACGUCCUGCUCCUCUUCUUCUCCAGGAACCUGUCCUGUCCUUAGACCGUAAUGGAGACCUGUCUCUCGAGCCGCAGCAUUUGUACCGGGCACACAGAAGGCGGAACAGUUUCAAUUUCCCGCGCCGGGGACCUUGGGUGCAGUAGCCAUAGAUAUAUAUAAAGACUAGAUGUCUUCCGGCGGAGUCUAGAACGUCAUCACUGGCGGCCAUCUUGCCACAGGCAGGCUUUCUGGAAGGAUCUGUGGUACCUGAGGGAGGGUUCCUCUCUGUCCUGGGCUACAUCAUAAACAUUGACACGUUGCUGGCGAUGGUUCCUGUGCUGAUUGAAGGACAGCGAUAUGUCUUGACCUACAGAUUCAGCAAGGACCACUUGGAACUGCUCUUUAACUCCAUCAGAGCAUCCGGUGGCUGGAAUAACAACCCUAAUGCCAGCCAGUUCAAGUAGUUGUUAAACCAUGCCGAGGCAAUGUGACAACGCAGGAUGAGACAGAGUCCCUACCAGCGGUCAUCGACACCUCUACAAGCCUAUCGGCUGUAGAUAUGUCCUUUGCAGCAGGAGGAGAAGAAGAUCUUCCAUCCCCGUUUGCUGACAUUCCUGCCCUAGUACAUGACCACAGCUACCUUCCCAUCCGCUUCGAUGGUCUUGUGGACAACGCUCUUGUGUACAUUUCCGGUAAAGGCUGACUGAAUGUCAAUUUUGCCUAUAACCGAUAGAGCUAAUAGUCAAAUCUGUGGGAAAACAAUCUGACGAUAGUCGAACCGUGGUGGCACGGUUCGACACGUGAUCAUGCUACACCAAUGAGGCAGCUGCUCUUUGUCAACAGACUGCCAAGUUGGCGGCCACCAUGACUUCAUCGAGCAGUACGGACGACGAAGAAAAUACACCAGAGGGUAAUAAAUCGAAAAGCAAACAUUGUUAUAUGCAUAUUACUUCAGUGAAGCACGAGGAGGUGAGUUAUUUCACCACUACUCGAUGGAGAACGUACAGGACAAGCCUAGAAAAGUGUCUCGGGUUGAAGGGGCAGUGUCGGGACGUGGCUGAGAACUUCAAACACUGUGUGGAUGUGGAGUUUGACAAUAUUCCCGAGCAUCGCAAAGGUGGAAAGACGUCUGGCACGUGAGAGACAAGAAGCUACGGAAGACCACGAGGCCAUUCCAUCGACUUCUAGCAGCACGAGUCCAACAAAGAAACUGCGAUCCCGGUCAGGGCUGCCACUCGCAGGCUCUGGCCCCGUCCUUCCUGCCCUGUGCAUAAUUUACAAAAAGAAGGAGAAGUUAAUCAACCGAGCAGGCAAACGACAAAGGGAUCCUCUGUCAAAGGCUGACACAUUAACAGCUGGCCAAUUGCAGAAAGCUGCUGAUUUGAAGGAAGACCAAAGUAUUCUGAUUCAUAUAAAGUCAAAGACUGUGUGGCUCUGGAGGUGCAGUACCACAAAGGCUGUUACAAUCAGUACACCAGGUUUUUGACGAGGCCUGAAAACCCAGAGAAAGAACACUAAGUUAUUUAUUAUAUUGCAUUUCAAGGAGCUACUAACUUAACAUUAUAUAAGUAAACAUUCAAUCUGCAUUCUGUUGUAUGUGCACACAAUCACGACACUUAUUCAUUUCUUUACUUCUCAUUCAUAUGUGUUUUAGGAAUGAGCCCAUGUUUGAUGUCAGCUAUAAGAUAUUCUGUGAGAGGAUCAUUCGCCACAGGCUGCUUUUCAACCAAGAGGUGCUGAGGAAGGCCUUCAUUGAACUGGUGAAAGCAAAUGAAGGUCUUGAUGCUUCACACUACAGACAGGAUAUGUUGAAGAAGAGGCUGACUCAUGAUUUCCCCCAGCUGGUGUUUCACAUCCCCACCAAGUGCAACGUCUGCGAGCUGGCUAUGGCAGAGACUCUGUCAACAGAUAGACUCGUGGACAUGCUACCUUAUCCAUCAGGUGGGGAAACCACACUGUCUAGUGAGUUGAGCCAGACAGACAGCGAGACUGAAAAAGGGACAACAAAGUGCCAAACAACACAAGAGGACGUAAGGACACUAUAUACAGCAGCGUUGUUCUUAAAAAGACGUCUUAGUGAGACUCCUGCCAUGUCAUGCCCAUGGCCUCCAACUUCUGAAUAUUUGAAUGUCACUGAAGCACACACUUGUAUGAUCAGCCAGCUGCCGAAAAUGAAAAUGAAGCUAGGUACAAGGCUUUCUGUAUGGCAUCAUUGGCCUUGCCAGAAUUAUGCAUUCCCCCUACUACUGAUGCCCUCCAUGCAAAAGGCCAAACUACCAGGCUGCAAUAAUGAGGUCCUGUGUCAAAGAAAAUAUAAGUGCUCCAUCAACUGCUGGAUAUGGUUGGCAAAUAAAGGAGGAGACCUUGCACGUCACCUGGAUGACAAGAAAUCCAGCCCCUGACAGUGUUUUGCAUGUGAUACACUGUGGCUGAAAAAGUGCCUGUGAGACAGGUUGUUCCUGUUUUUCUGAAGGACUGUGUUGCACAGACUUAUGUUGUUGUUGUAAUUGUGCCAACACAAAAGAAACUGAGGAACUGGAAGAUAACUGUCCUGACACUGACAGUGAGGACUGAGUGUCCUUAAUCUGUUACUCUUUGUUCUGUUUUGUAAAGUUUUAUAUAUCAUAUUUCAUAUUUUUAAUAAAGAUUGUUUUUAUGGUU